UAUUAAUGUAUUGUUUACAUUAAAUGAAGAGUCAAGAUAUUCAUAUUCUGAUGUUAUUUUGGCUAGUAGAGUUGGAAGAGUAUACAUAGAAAUGUCUACAGACCUGAAUUUCAAAUGUCAUCAAUAAUUACUGUGGAGAAGGGCUAUUUUUAUUAUUGUUGUUAUUAGUAGUAACUGUUUUAAUAGUUCAUUUUAAAAUCAGGCUUUGUGUUCUCUUCUUAAUUUAUUGUAGACAUAUCCCAGUCAAGAGCCAAGAGACCCAAACAGGCACUUCUGAAGGUGUUCCCUCGGACCCUCAUUGGCGAUUGAAGACAGAGCUUCAUGAAAGAGUGGCUCACACCUGCAAGAAGGUCUGCAGUCCAGAUGUGGCGGAUAUGAGUCAUUCAGAGCCCUGGCAUUGGCUACACUGCUGGACCCAAGAUUCAAAAUUGUGGCUUUUGGAAAUCCUGCCAAUGCCAAGGAAGCUGAAAAGCACCUCAAGUCAAGUCACUUUUAUAUAGCGCUUUAAACAAAACAGAUUGUGUCAAAGCAACUGAACAACAUUAAUUAGGAAAACAGUGUGUCCACCUCACACUGGAGUGCGCUCCGCUGAUGCGUUCAAACCCACCAACUCAUGAGCCACAAUUGUCAGCAUCAGGUCUAUCAUCAACAACAACACCAGCAGAAAGCCAGGACUGUUUAUGGGACCAUUUUCAUAAUCUUGUCUGUGAAUCCCACACAACACACAGUGCUACAGCUGAUGCCACAGUGGAAGUGAAAAAGUACUUCACAGAUGGAUUUUUGUCCAGAACAGAUGAUCUCCUAAAGUACUGGAAGGAGAGAGCAGUAAUUUUUCCUAAUCCGUACGUUUUAGCUCAAAAGUAUAUGUGAAUGCCAGCGACAAGUGUCCCUUGUGAGAGAUUUUUUUUUUUUUUUUUGAAAGGCUGGAGAAAUUAUAUGUAAAAAAAAAAGUAGGCUAUGUCCAUCAACAGCAAAACAAAUUAAUAUUUGUACAUAAAAAUAAUACAAAUAAAAUAAAGUCAGACAUUGUGGCUUGAUGUCUUUUAUUAAUGUUUUUCAUGACCAAAACAUUGGUCUGACAUCUGAAUUCUUAAAUCUUUGUGAAUAAAUUUGUGUGAAUAAAUGUUACAACACAUUACAAGAACAAAACAAUAAAAACAUGUUUAUUAUAAUUAUAUGAAUGCUUCACUCAGGAUUUGAACCCAAGGUGACAAGAACACUAACCACUCCCCCAAAUCACUCAGUGAAUCAA